ACCCGAAUGCUGGAAUUGGUAGACAGGCAUGGUUGAGGGCCAUGUGUCCUUUAGGGCGUGUGGGUUCAAGUCCCAUUUCGGGUACAA
rnacentral:tRNA from 1 species